UAAGGAAUAUUGCUCAAUGGGAGAAAUCCUGAAGCAGCAACGCCGCGUGGAGGAUGAAGGGUCUAUGACUUGUAAACUCCUGUAAAGAAGGAAAAAAUUCCCAUUAGAUGGGAGAUGAUGGUACUUCUGGAGUAAGCCCCGGCUAACUACGUGCCAGCAGCCGCGGUAAUACGUAGGGGGCAAGCGUUGUCCGGAUUUACUGGGUGUAAAGGGUGCUCAGGCGGAUUUGUAAGUCAGAGGUGAAAUCUUACAGCUUAACUGUGAAACUGCCUUUGAUACUGCAAGCCUAGAGUAUGGAAGAGAGAGAUGGAAUAUCUGGUGUAGCAGUGAAAUGCGUAGAUAUCAGAUAGAACACCAAUGGCGAAGGCAGUCACUUGGUCCAUUACUGACGCUAAAGCACGAAAGCGUGGGUAGCAAACA
rnacentral:rRNA from 1 species